UCGGCGCCCAGUACCUGCGCGGGGAUUCGGUUGCGGAGCUGCCUCCUCCUGCGCCUAGCGGCCCGCAGUGGGGGUCGGGAGAUGGUGGAAGGACCAGGUUGUGCUCUAAAUGGAGAGAAAAUUCGGGCGAAGGUGCGCCCGGGCCAGGCGGUGCUGGACGUGCGGGGAAGCGCCCUGCAGAGCCUGGGAGGCCCGGCCUUGCCUCGCGCAGCCUCGCUGGCUGUGGUCUCUUCCCAGGCUGCUGCACUGAAUGAUAAUAAAGAUUCCAGCCAGAAUUUCUCGAGACUGUUGAAUGGCUGCGUUUACUGCGGUGUACAGACUUUGGGGAAGGAGCUCCUUAUGUACUUUGGGCCAAAAGCUUUACGGAUUCAUUUUGGGAUGAAAGGCUCCAUCAUGAUUAAUCCACUUGAAUACAAAAAUAAAAAUGGAGUUUCUCCUGGUUUGGAAAUACAGCUCACCAAAGAUCUGAUUUGUUUCUUUGACUCAUCGGUAGAAUUCAGAAACUCAGCAGAAAGCCAACAGAGAGUAAGAAUGAUGGAAGAAUUAGAUGUAUGUUCACCUAAAUUUAGUUUCUCCAGAGCCGAAAGUGAAGUGAAAAAGCAGAAAGGACGGAUGUUGUGUGAUGUGUUAAUGGACCAGAGGGUGUUGCCUGGGGUAGGGAAUAUCAUCAAAAACGAAGCUCUCUUCGACAGUGGUCUCCACCCAGCUGUUAAAGUUUGUCAGUUGACAGAUGAACAGACUCAUUACCUUGUGAAGAUGAUACGUGACUUCAGCAUUCUUUUUUACAGGUGCCGUAAAACGGGAUCUGUUAUCUCGAAACACUAUAAGGUUUAUAAGCGUCCUAACUGUUGUCAGUGCUGUUGCAAAAUAACUGUGUGUCGCCUAGGAGAGAAUAACAGGAUGACAUAUUUCUGUCCUCGAUGUCAAAAAGAAAAUCCUCAACAAGUUGACAUUUGCAGGUUGCCCAGGAGAGACACUACAAUCAGGUGGCCGUCUAGCAGGGGGGACCAUGUGGCUGGGAAGUCUGAAGAGCAGUGGGCGUGCGUGGUCUGUACGCUGCUCAAUAGGCCGUCUUCGAAGACGUGUGAUGCUUGCCUGACUUCCAGGCCUACCGACUUAGCCAUCAAGAAUGAAGACAAUUCUAUUGGCUUUACCAACUUAGUGAAAUAUCCUUGUAAUAGCUUUGGAAAACCAAGUACAGAAGUGAAGAUCAACAGGAAAACAGCCUUUGGAACUACAACCCUCGUCAUGGUCGAUUUCAGCAAUAAAUCCAGUGGUCUGGAAAGAAAAACAAGCCAAAACCAGAUACUGGAUGGAGAAUUUCAAAACCCUCCUCAGACUAACGUUUGUUCUAGUGAUGAUCCACUUCACCCUUCCAAGGAGAGAACAAACCGUACCCCUCAACCAUCUGACAAAGUAAAUGUAUCGCCUGCGGUCUGCGCUCAGUCUAAAUUAUUUAGUCCAGCAUCUAAAAAAUUGAAAACAACCCACCCCUCAUCACUAGACCUCAAAAGUGCUCACCCUGGGUUUUCUAACAGUGAACCUGGAAUUAAUAUGACAGAUGGAGCUUGUGUGUUAAAUGCUGACAGUCCUCGCUGCAGUAAACACAACCGCCUCUGCGCUCUCCGAAUUGUGCGGAAGGAUGGCGACAACAAGGGCAGGCGGUUUUAUGCUUGUUCUCUACCUAGAGAAGCACAGUGUGGGUUUUUCCAGACCUCAAGGAGGCUUCUGUGUCCAUUGUGGGUCAAGCUCUAAGUGAACCCCGCUCUAGACUCUGGGCAACCGGAUGACUGGGUUCUGCACACACUCAAAGACGACACUGGAGAGCCAACCACAGCAGGCAGAUUCUGGAGAGGUGAGAGGUUUGGGAGGACAGACCAGCUGAGGUAACCUCCCAUGUUUUACAGUUUAUAGUCUCACCCUGAGGGCAGAACAACGUGAGAACCAAGCAGGCUGGCCAGAGUCUGACAGAAAAGGAGCCCAAAGAGGCCUCGGUCAGCCUGAGCAACCACAGCCACUGGGGAUGGGGAGGGGAAAGAGGAGACCUAAGAGGGGGAACCCCGGGGUCCAGUGCUUAAACUCUUUCCUGGCCCUCGCCUGACCCCUGAACACAGAGCAGCAAAAGACAGAAGAACCCAACCAAGAUCUGACCCACUGCCUGAGAGGAUUCGCAGUUUGAAUCCAACCAAACUAAUUGCUGGUAGAGACAAAACCAUCAACACGCUCUAAAGGAAAACACCAAACCCAGACCCUCCUCCAUGUGAUAUUCAGGGUUCCACCCAAAUUAUGCAACAUAAGAGGAACCAGAAUAACGUGACCCGAUUUCAGAGAAAAGACCAACAACGGAGACCAACUCCAAGAUGACCGAGAAAUGGGAAUUAGCCAACACGGAUUUUAAAGCAGCUAUUAGGACUCUGCCCGUUGAAGGCUGCCAACGGCCCGCGAUGCCAGGCAGGAAAGCACACGGGGAAGAAGCAAUACAGAAAACCCGUAAAGGCAAAUAUCCAAAGCAUUAUGAGAUAUGUUCUAUUUCCCCUGGUUUCUUUGCAAUACAUGGGGCUGUCGAAAGCAAGAUAGCGCAACAUUGACUUGUGAGAAUCAUACCAAGCUUUGGGCCUUGCACACAGUAGAAACUCGGAGCUGGUGGGCAGAGAGCUGGCCGGUGCACGCUGGGACCUGUGCUAGAUGACCGAUGCACGCUUUUGAACAAAUGAAGAGGAAGCUAUUCUUCAGGCAUCAUGGGCAACUGUAGGUAUAGUGUCAAAUUACUAUAUUCUGGAAUAAGAUGGAGUUCUUAAGACCGCUAGUUCAAAGACCUGCCCUUUCCUUUCCCUUGACCUUGACCAUGUGACCCUGAACAUGAUAUUUUAUUAAGCUUUGGCCACUGAGUGCUAAGUCCCAGUUAACUCGUCAGUGAAAUCAUGGAAACCACAAGACCACCCCGCAGCACCGUUUUGAGGGUAACGUGCUGUAAGCAUCUAAAGGUCUUGUUAGCCCAGCACUUGGUUAAAAAAACUCAAGUUGGUUUCAUUAUCUUUAUGGUCUACAGUAGGUACUCUGCAUACUACUACAACCACAACUAUUCUGGGAAGUUUCAGAGAGGAAAGAGCAGUGCCAGUGGUCUUACAGAGGGAUUUGCAUUUCACUUGUGUGAGGGCCAGAGGAAGUACAUGCUGUGUCUGGGGAACAGGGAGCCCAGAGCUUCAAAAAAGGGCAAAUGUUAGGAAGGAGAUGCUGGGGUGAGUUUUAUGCUUCCCGUGAUAGCUCAAGAAGAAUGUUAAUUCACGAAGGAAAUCCAAGGUUUCAGAGAAAUCCAGGCAUGUAUUACAUUCUAGAUGGAAAUCCUAUAAACCCAAUAAGGAAUGUAAAUCACUGUCAAUACAAUUUUAGGCCUGUUUCUUUGACGGCAGAAGAGACUCAGCUUUAAGGGUGCCUCCGUGGGUCUCUGUUAAGUGUCUGCCUUCUGCUCAGGUCAUGAUCUCAGGUUCUGGGUGGAGCCCUGCGUCCUGUCCCCCUUGAUCAGCAAGGAGACUGCUUCUCCUCUGCCCCUCCCCCUGCUCAUGCUCUCUCUCUCUCUCUGAAGUAAAUAGAAAAAAAAAAAAAAAA